rnacentral:lncRNA from 1 species
AGAAGUUAAAAGUGGUUAGCACGUGCUAUCACGUGCAUUGUUCACAACCUACACCGUUGGAUAUUUGUUGUCUGUUGGUAUUUGAGUCUCGAGUCUUAUCUAUACUCUCUAGGAUUUGGAUCAGAAGAAAAAACAAGAAAAAACUUGCUAACAAAUUAAAGUCUGAAUUUUAAUUCUAACAAAUUAAAUUUUAAACUUUUUAACUUGUCAAAAUUUGAAUAAUUCGCUAAACUUUGUUUAUG